AACGAACGCUGGCGGCGUGCCUAACACAUGCAAGUCGAGCGAGAAAGCCCGCAAGGGUGAGUAAAGCGGCGCACGGGUGCGUAACACGUGAGUAAUCUGCCCUGAAGUCCGGAAUAACUCGCCGAAGGGCGUGCUAAUGCCGGAUGAGACCACGGGAGCCUCGGCUCCUGCGGGAAAAGGUGGCCUCUGUACACAAGCUAUCGCUUCAGGAUGAGCUCGCGGCCCAUCAGCUCGUUGGCGGGGUAAUGGCCCACCAAGGCUACGACGGGUAGCUGGUCUGAGAGGACGAUCAGCCACACUGGAACUGAGACACGGUCCAGACUCCUACGGGAGGCAGCAGUGGGGAAUCUUGCGCAAUGGGCGAAAGCCUGACGCAGCAACGCCGCGUGUGUGAUGAAGGUCUUCGGAUCGUAAAGCACUGUCGCGAGGGACGAAUAAGGGGCGGGCUAACAUCCCGUUCCGAUGACGGUACCUCGAGAGGAAGCACCGGCUAACUCUGUGCCAGCAGCCGCGGUAAUACAGAGGGUGCAAGCGUUGUUCGGAAUUAUUGGGCGUAAAGCGCGUGUAGGCGGCUUUGUAAGUUGGGUGUGAAAGCCCUCGGCUUAACCGAGGAAGUGCGCCCAAAACUGCAUGGCUUGAGUACCGGAGAGGGUGGCGGAAUUCCCGGUGUAGAGGUGAAAUUCGUAGAUAUCGGGAGGAACACCAGCGGCGAAGGCGGCCACCUGGACGGAUACUGACGCUGAGACGCGAAAGCGUGGGGAGCAAACAGGAUUAGAUACCCUGGUAGUCCACGCCGUAAACGAUGAGCGCUAGGUGUUGUGGGUGUUGACCCCCGCAGUGCCGCAGCUAACGCAUUAAGCGCUCCGCCUGGGAAGUACGGCCGCAAGGCUA
rnacentral:rRNA from 1 species